UACGGGAGGCAGCAGUGGGGAAUAUUGCACAAUGGGCGCAAGCCUGAUGCAGCCAUGCCGCGUGUAUGAAGAAGGCCUUCGGGCUGUAAAGUACUUUCAGUCGUGAGGAAGGUGUUAAGGUUAAUAACCUUAGCAAUUGACGUUAGCGACAGAAGAAGCACCGGCUAACUCCGUGCCAGCAGCCGCGGUAAUACGGAGGGUGCGAGCGUUAAUCGGAAUUACUGGGCGUAAAGGGCACGCAGGCGGUUAAUUAAGUUGGAUGUGAAAUCCCCGGGCUUAACCUGGGAAUGGCAUUCAAGACUGGUUAGCUAGAGUCUUGUAGAGGGGGUAGAAUUCCAUGUGUAGCGGUGAAAUGCGUAGAGAUGUGGAGGAAUACCGGGUGGCGAAGGCGGCCCCUGGGACAAAGACUGACGCUCAUGUGCGAAAGCGUGGGGAGCAAACAGGGAUUAGAUACC
rnacentral:rRNA from 1 species